rnacentral:rRNA from 1 species
UACGUAGGUGGCAAGCGUUGUCCGGAAUUACUGGGCGUAAAGCGUGCGCAGGCGGUCUGUUAAGACCGAUGUGAAAUCCCCGGGCUUAACCUGGGAACUGCAUUGGUGACUGGCAGGCUUUGAGUGUGGCAGAGGGAGGUAGAAUUCCACGUGUAGCAGUGAAAUGCGUAGAGAUGUGGAGGAAUACCGAUGGCGAAGGCAGCCUCCUGGGCCAACACUGACGCUCAUGCACGAAAGCGUGGGGAGCAAACAGG